CCCUUAGAUGUUCUGGGCCGCACGCGCGCUACACUGAUGCAUUCAACAAGUUCUACCUUGGCCGAGAGGCCUGGGAAAUCUUUCAAAUAUGUAUCGUGAUAGGGAUAGAUUAUUGCAAUUAUUAAUCUUGAACGAGGAAUUCCUAGUAAAUGCAGAUCAUCAUUCUGCGUUGAUUACGUCCCUGCCCUUUGUACACACCGCCCGUCGCACCUACCGAUUGAAUGAUCCGGUGAAGCCUCGGGAUUGUGCCCAGAGAACUUUAUUGUGAUUUGGGUGUGAGAACUUGUCUAAACCUUAUCAUUUAGAGGAAGGUGAAGUCGUAACA
rnacentral:rRNA from 1 species